rnacentral:tRNA from 3 species
AUUUCUCUAGUAUCAACAAGUACAGUUGACUUCCAAUUAACCAGUUCUGGUAACAACCCAGAGAGAAAUA